rfam:Hapalosiphon sp. MRB220 contig_24, whole genome shotgun sequence.
UAAUUUUAUCUCUUGAGGGACAAACUCAUGAUAGACUACUCAAACUUAGAGUUGGGAAAGUCCGGUGAAAUCCCGGUACUGUGCCGCAGCUGUAAUCUGAUUGGAAAUUGUGAGUGGUUAAUAAAACAACCAUGUACCAACAACCAAUUCAGUUAGUCAGAACGCCAAUUUCUAAGGGUGUCGCCAA